AUUGAACGCUGGCGGCAGGCCUAACACAUGCAAGUCGAACGAGUGGCGGACGGGUGAGUAAUGUCUGGGAAACUGCCUGAUGGAGGGGGAUAACUACUGGAAACGGUAGCUAAUACCGCAUACCAUCAGAUGUGCCCAGAUGGGUUUAGCUAGUUGGUGGGGUAACGGCUCACCAAGGCGACGAUACCUAGCUGUUCUGAGAGGAUGACCAGCACCACUGUAGCUGAGUCACGGUCCAGACUCCUAUGGGAGGCAGCAGUGGGGAAUAUUGCACCAUCGGCAAAAGCCUGAUGCAGCCAUGCCGCGUUUAUGAAGAAGGCCUUCGGGUUGUAUAGAACUUUCAGCGAGGAAGCAUUACCCGCUGAAAAAGCACCGGCUAACUCCGUGCCAGCAGCCGCGGUAAUUC
rnacentral:rRNA from 1 species